ensembl:snRNA U2 U2 spliceosomal RNA
AUCGCUUCUCAGCCUUUUGGCUAAGAUCAGGAGUAGUAUCUGUUCCCAUCAGUUUAAUAUCUGAUAUGUCUUCUAUCCAAGGACAAUAUAUUAAAUGGACUUUUGGAGUAGGGAGACUACAGGAGUUUGCUCUGUCCACUCCACACAUCAACCUGGUAUUGCAGUACUUCCAGGAACGGUGCACCUGCC